rnacentral:lncRNA from 1 species
UUGCCUUUUUCUUUUCAUCAACCUUGGUGACUAUCAGUGUCAAAGAAAGCUUAAUUCUUCGUUCUGUUUUUAUUUGUCUCUUUAAAGGUUUGUAAAUUUUUUUUCUAUCGACCUUAUUCAACCAUGUAAAUGGAAAAUUUAUGUUAAAAUUCUUCCAUGCAUAGUAGGUACAAAGUGGUUGAGAUAGUUCACAAAAAUGUUAUGGAUGGCUUCUUGUGAUUUAAUAUUGGAGUCCAUAAUAUCUCUACACUCCAGAUCGCGUAGAACUAACUAGAUUGCUCAUUAUUUUCCCGAGCUUGUUGUUUUUGAAACGCUGGACGAUGCUGACAUUUGUGUUGCGUUCGCAGGUUAUGAAAUGGAUGAACAGGCUCCUGAUUCUAAUUACUUGCGGCUGCAGUUUUAUCAGUUCCCGGAUCCCAGGUCAAGACCUGGCCGUAACAAGGGGUGAUAGGCAUUAGGUGAUGAGAAACAUCCGUGUUGAUGUAAUCAAGAUUGCAUUUGCUCUUAUACAUUAUAUAUAUUGCUCAGGCUUGGGCACACACUAAUUGUAAGCACUUCUGAUGCACAUUGUUGUUCUAGGUAGUGAAAUCAGAAACAGUUUUAUAGUUGUGUUGAACGAUCUGAUUUUGCACGUCCAUGGUCUACAAUUUACUCAAGGAAUGUUUUAAUUCUGAAUUGAGAUUGUACUGUGCAUAGACUACCGCAAAAUUAGUACAGAGAUAGUUUCCCUAUAGAUUGUUUUCAUAUACUAGAGGACUUCCAUGGCCAGGGUAUCUUGCCACCAUAUUGUCCCCGUACAUUUUCCCUCCAUAUUAGUUAUAUAUUUAUCUGGACAUUCUAACCUAAUGAAGUCCUACAAUCAUCAUAACUCAUUUUACUUAGCUCAUGCUCCUUACAAUAUUUGAUGAACUCACAUAAGAAACUCAUAGAAAUUUGUUCCCAGUCAUUACCUUUGGACUGCAGUUGAAGCUUAUGAUACAUCCUCCCAAUGCUAAGCACUAGCUAGUGGGUUGUCGACUAAUCUAUGCCACCGUACACAUCGCAGGGGCUUUGAACUCUGUCUCAAUUAUUGUAAAGACGUUAGCCUCUUCAAUGAAAGAACCCAUAGUCCUAUGCUGCUAGAGCUCCCCCCACCCUUCUUGGAAUUAAUAUAGUGUUAGGACAUAUCGCUCUAUUUCUCACAUCACGUGACUAAUGAUUUCUUUGAAGUUACUUCUUUAGGAAACACUUAUACUACAAGUGCUUUUAUUAUAUAGAAUCUUUAUAAGCAAUCCAAGUGUUCAUUGAAAACGUAUUUGAAAGUGCUUCUUGAAAAAGCAUUUGGCAAGUGCUUCUUGAAAAAGCAUUUGGCAAGUGCUUCUAUAAAAGAGCUUAUUGGGUCAAAAGAAUUUCUAAGUUUUUUUUUCUGCCAAGCACAACAGAAUACACAUUUUAGCUUUUUCCAGAACCAAUCCCAGACAAGUUCUAAGCAAAGAAAGGGCGAUACAGCCUGAAGACAACGGAGAAUUUCCCUGACGUUAAAGGUUUUGUUUGUUCGGUCACUAAACCCAAAAAAAUAGAAAACUUGAAGUGGGCAAUGAAUUGGUUUUCGAUUUCCAUUAAAUUGGCACAACAUUCGGCAUUGUUAUGCAAAAAUAUACUUUUUUCUUAUCAUUAGUUUUACACACACUCUAGUCUGUGGUAUAAAAUGAGCUAGGGUUUGGUUGGAGAACAAGUCUACGUGGUAUCAUCACUUACAUUACAUGCCAUGUGGGCUGGAGGGUUUCAUUUGGUGCCAUUACUCCUUUUUCUGUUCUAUAAUCAUUUUGGAACUGGAAGAGAAAGUGGAGGGGAAAAGGUAGUUUAGGGCAAAAAUUUUCCAAUCAAUUUUUUGGCAGUGUGACUGUUUUCGAAAUAUAGAGUAGUUGUGGCAAAAAAGAAAAAGGAAAGGGGUAAUUGUACAUACACAUUGUUCCAAAGGGUCAGUUGUCCCACAACUUGUCAAGGGACCAGAGCAUUAAGUUGUAGCUGCAAGUGCAAGGAGAAAGUUGUGGAUUAGAUAGACCAAUGGAUUUGGUUUGGUUUAAUUCCAAGUCAUCGUCGUUUCUUCUUCUAUGUGGCCCAGCCGCCCAGGACUUUAGUCCUUAUUUGGCAGGUACUUAUUACAAGGUUAGAUAAAGGGAGAUGAUACAUGGAGAACGGUUUGCCAAGUUUGUUAGAGUGGAUCCGGAUCCAUGAGUGUUGGAUCUCUAGUAAUUGAAUCUUUAGUUAAAGAUUCAAUGUCUCAACGAUCUAUGCUAUACAUUUGUCUUUACGAAUUUUCAUUCAUUGUGUAUUACAUAAUAUUCUUGACCCUCUUAUAUGUGACUUCGGCCGACUUCUAUCACCCGAUAUCGUUGUGUAAUAACUUGAUGAGAUAGCCAAUGCUUAGGUCAUCUUCAAUGGAGAUGGCUAAAGGUCAAAAAGCUAAAAAAUAGUAUGAUUUGUUCAAAAACUCAUCUCCAACCAAUGUCAGAGCUAUAAUUAUAUGGAGCCCACCAUGCCAUUAUUUGGCUAGUGCCCCUUUCUUAGCCCCUUUUUGGGGCCUAGCUCCUCGAUUAUGCCAUCUGCAAUGAAGAGGGCUAAAUGUCUAAAAGCCAAAAAAUGACAUGAUUUACCCAAAAACUCAUCUCCAACCAAUAGCUAGGUUAUAAUUCUAUGGAUUCAACAGUUAGAUUUGGAAACAUCCAAUGUUAGUUUAAUUAAAUUAAAGUAUAAACUUAAAACUAAUAAAUUAUUAGGGAGCCUAUGUUUUAGCCCUUUCGGUUGGAGAUGGUAUAUGAGUAUGGCCGACACUAUUCAUUUAAAAAUAAUUUUUUUGUUGGGUUAUAAUUUUGGAUGAGGCUAUGUCUAGCCCUUUUGGUUGGAGAUGACCUUACAAUGAUUAAUUCAAAUUCAAUGGUUAAAUUUGAAAAUAUCCAACAAAACAUCCAACAGUAGUUUAAUUAAAUUAAUCAAUAAUUUUAAGUAUAAACUCAGAACUAAUAAAUUAUUGAGGGAGUUAUGUUUAGCCUUUUCGGUUGGAAAUGAUAUAUGAGUAUGGCCUAAUACUGUUUAUUAAAAAAAAAAUCUUUAGUUAUCUCUGCUAAUCAAUAAAACACUCAUUGUCAACCAAAAUCCUAUGAAAUUACCAGUUUAACCUUCUAAUUAAAACAAAACAUGAAUAAGAAAUAUGGGGCGGAAAUUUAAUUUUACACAAACAAAAUUUGUUGUUUUUUUUUUUCAAAACUUCAUCUAUAUAUAAUUCUAACAUAUCUCUAAUUAUAAAAUAAAUAAAAAAUAAAAAUAAAAACUUCCUACUCCCACAUUCUCUAUCACUCCCUUCCUCUCUUCUUUUAUUUUAAAACAAAAAAAAAAAUUUCACAUACUUUAUAUAUGCCCAUAUGCUAGUAAUUAUAAACGAAACUAUAUUUAACUAUUUCGUUGAAAAUGACCGUACGAGUAUGUAAAUUUUGAAAUGUGAGUUGUCGUUCACUACGCAAGCAAAGAUCGAAAGCCUUCAUGUACCGAGGGGUCCCACUCCUUGAAUCAGAAUAAAAGUGCUUUGAAAAAGUCCCUUUAAUUAUGUCCAAGUUUGGAUAAAAUUUGUCCAUGCAUGGCAUGCACUCACUGACUGAUCUCGUCGUCCUGAAGGGUAAGAGAGGUAAAUUCCAGAAUAACCCACGAGGCACUGUAUGAAGCCUGUCAAUUACAUCAACUCAUCAAGCUUUCAAUCUUUUCAUGGCAUGCCUAACUUCUGUGAAAUAUGCUCAACAUUUAACAUUUUGUAAACCAAAAAGAGAGUAAGAGAGAGAUGAUUGAAGUAAUAAAGUAAAAGCGAAAUGCAUGCAUUGAUAAAAGGAAAUUUUAACAAAAAAAAUUUCGGUACUGUUUACUUUAACAAAAAAUUAUAUUUUUACAUUAAAAAGUCAAUUCUAAUACUAUUCAUUUUACCCUUUAUUUGUUCUUUAUUGUUAAAAAUCAAAUUUUUCAAUCCAUUUUUAUUAGUUUUCCUUUGAUAAAAGGAGAAAGAUGCAUGGAGAACUGGUUUUUUAUUUUAUUAUUAUUUUUUUUACAAACAAUAAUAUUAGAGUGGAUUAAGUUAUUAGCUGUUAGCGAGAAGAGGAUCAAUAAUAAUCAAACUAGCACCCGGAUGUAUAAGCAUAAUUGUUUUCUAAAAUUGCAAUAAAACGUCACUUUCCAUAUAUAUAUAUAUAAAAAAAAAAAACUUAUUGUUCCUUGUAUGAUGGAUUGCAAUCUCAAUAUCGUUCUUAAUGGAACGGCCACAAUUAGUUGUUCAGGACAUAAACAAUAUGUAUUGUCUUUAUAUUUAGGAAAUUGGCUCUGUUAGCCUUAUUACAAACCCAACAAUUAAAAAUACUCCCAAAUUAUAAUCUCUAUUAGCCCUCUUUUCCUUAAAUACCACUAACUUGAAAGAUGAACUGUUAUUCUAUGUCUCGACGUUGGAUCUCGAUGGCAUCCAAAAGGGCCUCUCAACUCCCUUCCGACUGUAUCUCGACUGAAUCACGACGGCAUCUCAACGGCACAGAACUGAAUUACCCUUAUAUUUAUGAGUUGAUCAGACACUCCAAUUAAAUAAAAAUAACUAUAAUUAUGUCAAAAUUAUUUAGUCAGUCUCACGUAUAUAUAAUUAAUUCAUCAAACACAUAAACAAAAAAGUUCUUGUAUGUAUGCUAUACUUUGAUUUGUCUCAACAAGAAAUGACUCAGUCAUCUUUUUAUCUAUGUCCAUUGAGUUUAUGGAGGGCAACAUAUUGAGAUCUCAAAAAUCUUAUUCUCAUACAACACACUUUUUUUUUUGAACAAACGAUAUUAUCUACACUAAGGGAAAAUGGGUGGCCUAAACCUCACAAUGGGCUAGCAAUAAUGUGGUUCAAAUUCACAUUUGGCGAGAAUCAAACCUAAGACCUCUCACUGACAAGUGAAGAAGAAUAUCACUAGACCGUAGUCCUAAAAAAAAUAUAGAUCUUAUAGUCUUGCAGUGUUUUAGAUUAGCUAAAACGUUGGUAUCCAUAUUAACUUACCAAAAAAAAUAUGUUGAAUUUGCUACACCUGGAAUUUGUAGCAGAUUUGUCAUUUUAUAAAGGGGUUUUUAACUCAUUUAAAAAAAAAGAAGGGGUUUUUAACUUUAAUUCUUAAAAAAAAUUGAAAUUUAAUAAAAAUCGGAUGUUAGAUUACAUAUUAAUUAUUGUCCUUUAAUGUGUUAUUAACUCAAAUUAAUUAAUGUGUAUUUUAUUCAAUAUCUCACAUUAAAUAUUUGAAUUUAUGAAAAUGAAAAUUAUAAUAAAAUAUAAUUAAUAUAUCAAAAUUAGAAAGAAAAAGAGAAAUAAUUAAAACAUCAAAAUAUAAUUAAUAAAUGAAGUAAUUAACAUAUCAAGAGACUAAAAUUAGAUUUUAAUUUUACUCAUGUUUUUAAUUUAAAGUUAUUUUUAUCAAAAAUUAAAAUGAAGUUUCCUAUUUUGUAAAUUACAACGAUGAAAAAUGACGCGUUGCACGUAAGAAACAACAUCUAUAUUUUCUCUUUUGUUUAAUAUGCCAUCAAACAUAUCCAUCACAUUUUAAAUUUUGUGGAAGUCCCUCUCUCACAUUGAUAAAGUCUGGUUUGUGUUGGACAGCUGUCCAACAGACAACCCAAAAAUCUUCCAAAAACCAACAAACAUUUCUGACCAGUCAUGCAUACGUAUGCAUGGACCCAAUGGCAUAUAAUCAAAAAUUUUAAAUAAUGGGAUCGUAAUGUCAACUUAAAAAAAAGUUUCAUUAAGCUAUUUCAUCGAACAUUUAGUAAGCAAUUGUCAAUUCUUGUCAACAAUGCCAAAAGUUUAUGUUAAAAUAUAUCAACUACGAUAAUUUGUAGAGGCUUGUCGAGAGUGAUGUAGGAUACUACGAAGUAAUAUUGAGAACUCUUAAAGCUUUUCAACUAAAGUAUUUUAUAUAAAAAGAGAGAAAAGAAAAACAAAUAUGAUAGAAGAAAAUAGAAGAAGUAAGAAGAUGAGGUUGUAAGUUAGUUUGCUUUAGCUAUUUAUAAUGGUCAAAUAAAAUAUACAAACAAAUAUACAUGAGAUUUUUAAAGUUGUUGAGAUCAAGGAUAAUCAAUGAUCCCAUUCUAGUUUUGCCAUUGCAUGGGCCGGAUAGGGAUAUGGCUAAAAUAUAAUUCUAUUAAUUGCGUUUUGGGACUUUGUCUAACAACUUGGCUCUCUCUUGACUUGGAUGCCAUGGAUGGCUCAUGCAGUUUACUAAAACUAGUAAUGUACAAUUUUCAGAGACUAUUAAUUAUCAUCUAUCAGGAAAAUUUGAUUUCCAUGCUUGCCCUUUCACGUCGGUGACUUGGAGAUAAUAUUGUUUCUUGUCCGGAGAUGAAAUAAAAUAAAAAGACUUGCACGAUCAUACUGCAUUAUAUAUAUUACACUAUAUAGUCUAUGUUGGGAGUUAUAUAUUAGUUAAAGUAUAAAUAGUAGUCUGUUAUCCUAUAUUGAUGAAGUGCAUAUGUAAUACAAAUUGUAAUUCCUAUAUAUACUCCAUUUUGGAGAUUAAUGAAUAUAUGAGAAAUUCUCAAAUAUUAUCAUAUAUAUUUUUGGUAUUUACCAUGUUUAGUUUAAUAUAGCAUCAAAGCAGUUCGCUCUUGGUGACCUGUGUGCUUUAAUUUUGUGCCCCACAUUUGUCAUGAUUUCCUUCGUCUUGAAAAAAAAAAAGGAAAGUAAAUAGUGUUGCACUACAGUACAAACAGUGCGUAAACAGUGGUAUGCUACAGUGUUCAUGAACAAUAUUUUGCUACAGUGCCAUUAACAGUGAUCUACUACAUCACUUGAACAGUGAUGUGCUACAGUAUUAUGGUAAAUUGUUUUCAUUCCGCUGCCUAUCUUUUGUGCCUUUAUUGUUUGUGAUUUAAUUCAAUGGCUCAGUAUAAUCAUAAUGUUGUUAUGCAUCUUGGUGGAACAAAUAAAUGGAUAAUUGAUACUGGGACCACUAAUCAUGUGACUAGUGACCCUAGAAUGUUUGAUGAGUUAUGUGACUAUAUUCUUGAUCCGUAUAUUACUAGUGCAAAUGGAGCACAUUCCCCCGUGAAUGUUGAAGGCAUUAUCUCUCUUACUUCGACCUUAUCACUGGUCCAUACUUUACUUGUUCCUGAUGUUAAGUGCAAUCUUUUGUCGGUAGAAAAACUACUUGAUACUUUAUAUUGUUUUGCUCACUUCUACCCUACGUAUUGUUAUUUUCAAGACAUUCAAACUCAGAAAGUAAUUGGUCAUGGUAAAAGAAUAGAGGGUUGUACAUCUUGACUAUGGAGGAUACUGUUGUUUCCGGUUCAAAUAAUCAUCAAGUUUUAAGUGCUAAAGUGGAUGACAUACAUCAAAUUUGGUUGUGGCAUUGGCGAUUAGGACGUCUAUCAUUCAGUUAUAUGAAGCAUCUAUUUCCUGCUUUGUUUCGCAUUUGUAGUGAUUCAUAAUUCAAGUGUGAAGCAUGUGUCAUGGCUAAGAGUCAUCGUGCUUCCUUUCCCAUAAGUGAUUCUAAAGCUACUUUGCCAUUUGAUUUAAUACAUUCUGAUGUGUGAGGUCCGGCAAAUGUUACUUCUAAUGAAUUUCGUUGGUUUGUUACUUUUAUUGAUGAUUGUACUCGAUUAACUUAGGUGUUAUUGAUGAAGAAUAAGAGUGAUGUUCAUUUGCUUCUUCAAGAAUUUUGUGCAAUGGUGUAUACUCAGUUUCAGACCAAAGUUAAGGUUUUCAGGUUUGAUAAUAGAGGAGAAUAUGUGAAUCACACUUUGACAUGCUUUUUUCGUGAUCAGGGUAUUAUUCACCAGACGACUACUUUGUUUACACCCCAACAAAAUGGUGUGUCAGAACAGAAGAAUCGUCAAAUAAUGGAGGUUGCUCACUCAUUGAUGUUGGAUAAAUGUGUUCCUAAUCAUUUAUGGGGUCAUGUUGUUUUGGCUGUUGUAUAUUUGAUAAAUCGUGUUCUAAGUAGGGUUCUUGAUUUUCAGACACCACUUGAUGUGUUACAAAAGCAUGUUUAUCUUGUUUCUGUAUCAAAACUUCCUCCGAAGGUGUUUGGGUGUAUUGCGUAUGUGUAUGUCUACUCUUAUCAGCGGAGUAAACUUGAUGCAUGUGUUCUUCGAUGUGUAUUUAGUAGGUAUGCUAACAAUCAGAAAGGCUAUAAGUGUUAUCAUCCUCCGACUCAUAAAACUUAUAUUACCAUGGAUGUCACUUUCCACGAGGAAGUUUCGUAUUUUGUGAAGCCAUCUUCCGACUCUCCACUUCAGGGGAAAAAAGGGAGUGAAGUGCAUAUUUGAAGAGAUGGUAUGGAUGAUGUGUUACAGGCAGAGUUGGGGAUAGAACCUAUUAUGUUGCGUGAUACUGAUCAGUCGGUUAUAGAUAGUGAUCUGUCACCUAUUAUUCCUAAAACUAUUUUUACUGACGACAGAUUAGAUGUGCCCAACGAGUUGCUUGUCAGUAUGUCUGACGAAUUACUUUCUGAUGACCGAUUGCUUGCUUCUGGUAUGUCUAACGAGCUGCCUGAUGAUGGUUAGUUCAGUGAUGGUUCAUCCAGUGAUGAUUCUUUUAACAAUUUGGUACAAGAUAAUGACAUACAUGAGUUAAAUUCUGACGAUUCUUCUAUUUAUUAGUUGCCUCCACGAGCUAAUCGUGGAAAACCUAAGGUACAAUAUGAGCCUGAUAUGCAUGCCAAAUCCAAAUAUCCUAUCAACAAUUAUGUGUUUACUCAUCGUUUGUCCAAACCAUUUUCAUCUUACAUAUGUCAGCUAUCUAGUGUAUCAAUUCCAACAAAAUUGCACGAUGCCUUGUCUGACCCUAAGUGGGUUAAUGCCAUGAGAGUUGAGAUGGAAGCCUUGGAAAAGAAUUCUACUUGGGAUUUGGUUCAUUUACCAAAUGGGAAGAAAGCUGUUGGAUGUAGAUAGGUGUUCACUAUUAAGCACAAAGCAGAUGGUUCUAUUGACCGGUAUAAAGCCAUAUUAGUUGCUAAGGAUUAUACUCAAACCUAUAGGGUGGACUAUCAGGAGAUUUUUGUUCUUGUUGCCAAACUUAAUACUGUGUGUGUUCUUCUGUCCUUAGUAGCAAACCAGGAUUGGCCUCUGUUGCAGUUUGAUGUUAAGAAUGAUUUCCUUCAUGGUGAUCUCAAGGAGGAAAUUUAUAUGGAUCUCCCACUUAGUAUUAGAACAUCUCCUGAAAAAUGUGUUGUAUGCAAGUUGCAAAAAGCUUUGUAUAGUUUGAAACAAUCUCUUAGAGUGUGGUUUUGGAGGUUUACAAGUUCAAUGAAGAAGUUUGGGUAUGUCCAGAGUCAUUCAAAUCAUACUUUGUUUCUAAAUUGUUUCUAAAGCCACAAAAUGGUAAGCUAACUGCAUUGAUUAUUUAUGUUGAUGACAUGUUAGUGACUAGUGAUGAUCAAAAGGAGAUACAACGCCUUAAAAAAGUACCUAGCUAGUGAAUUUGAGAUGAAAGAAUUGGGUGAAUUGAAGUAUUUUCUUGGAAUCGAGGUUGCACAAUCCAAGCAUGGUAUUUUUCUGUCUCAACAGAAGUAUGUUCUUGAUUUGUUAGUUGAAACAAAUCUGUUAGAUUGCAAACUUAUUGAUACUCUGAUUGAGCAAAAUCAUCAUCUGGGCUUAUUUCCGAAUCAAGUUCCUACUCAUAAGGAACGGUAUCAGAGGCUUGUGGGGAAAUUAAUUUAUUUGUCUCACACUUGCCCUGACAUUGCUUAUGCAGUUAGUGUAGUAAGUCAGUUUAUGCACUCACCUAGUGAAGCUCAUAUGGAUGAAAUAGUCCGUAUUUUGAGGUGCUUGAAGAUGGCUCCUGGCAGAGGCUUGGUUUUCUCCAAGAAUGGUCAUUUGAAUGUCGAAGGGUAUACAGAUGCAGAUUGGACAAGUUCUAUCACUGAUUGGCGGGUGGUAAUCUAGUUACUUGGAGAAGUAGAAACAAAAAAUGGUGGCUAGGUCAAGUGCUGAAGCUGAGUUUCGUGGUAUGUCUCAUGGUGUAUGUGAGUUGUUGUGGUUAAAAAAAUUGUUGAGAGAUCUUGGAUUUAAACCCAAUGGUGCUAUGAAACUCCAUUGUGAUAACAAGGCUGCUAUUGAGAUUGCUCAUAAUCCAGUGCAACAUAAUCAAACAAAACAUGUGGAGAUUGAUCAACAUUUCAUCAAGGAAAAUUUGGAUGCUGGAAUUAUUAUGUUUCCGUUUGUGAGAUCUGAAGAUCAACUCGCUGAUGUACUUACUAAGACUGUGUCUAAUAGUGUGUUUUCCAACUCGCUUGACAAGUUGGGCAUGCAUGACAUCUUUGCUCCAACUUGAGGGGGAAUUUUACGAGUUAUAUAUAGUUAAAGUGUAAAUAGUAGUCUGUUGUCCUACAUUGAUGAAGUACAUAUGUAAUACUAAUUGUAACUCCUAUAUAUACUCCACUUUGGAGAUUAAUAAAUAUAUAAGAAAUUCCCAAAUAUUGUCAUAUAAAUUUUUGGUAUUUAUCAUGUUUAGUUUAAUAGUCUAAACAUCAGGAAAUACACCAACCCUAAACCUAAUGGAUUUUAUGAAGCCGCUGGUUUGGGUACACAUUAAUCUAACCUAAUUGCUCUACCACAUUCUAAACACAAAAUUUGUUAUAAAUAGGAUGAUUAAAUUUAUUUUCUCAAGCGGUAGAGUAGUGAACCUCACAGCGACGACAAUCUUCCACCCCCAAAUUCGGGUUUUUUUGUACUAAAAUGGUCUUUUAUGUAUAAGAACUUUACGAUAAGUUUAUUAAAAUUGGCUCUGUAUCUACGAAAUCUCAACAUCCAUACGUUACAAAAUGGAUUAGAACUCCUAGGAAAUAAAAUAGAACAUAUGAUGAUCCCUUUAAAGGGCCUUAUAAUGGGGAAGACUUCUCACAGAAUAUAAGAAGACGAAGAGGAAAACUAAAAACUUAGAACUUCAAGGAGAUGGACUGGAGCAGGGAGAAUGGCAAAGAACCGGAACCCAGAAGACCCGCAACGAAAAAGAAAACACUGUACUUUUUUUAGACAUUUUUUCACAUUUCUUCUCGGCCUUACAGCCAAGUAGCAUUUUCCGACCCCAAAUAAAGAUAGAAGGAAAAAACCAAAUUAAGGUAAAUAAAUUUUCUAUAGCAACUUGGCAAACAAAAACAUACUAGAAGAAAACAAGGAAAAUACAAAGAAAUUAAGGAAGUAUGGGAAACAAAAUAAAUUUAAUACGGGACCAACGACAACGGUGCAAAUGUAUAUUGUUCAGGAAAUAAACUUUUAGCGAAAAUGUGCUGCAAAAUUGACCAAUUUUGCUUCAUAUUCACACUCAAUUUUUUUAAGAAUUAAUAUCUGUAGAGUUUAGACCAAAAAUAAAAUAAAAAACAAAACCAAAAUGCUACUCCACUUUCUUGGUACUUAACUCAGCUCUCCACCUCCUUCCAAUCUUACAAGCUUCUAGAUUUAGAUUUGUCUCAAAUCACAUGCCAACUAACCUGCCCAGCUCAAUUUUAUUUUUUCUUUGGAAAUUCCAGUGCGUCUCUACUUUUGUUUUUCUAAAUCUUACUUACUCCCAUUAUAAUUGGAAUUUUAUAUAUUUAUAUGGAUGCUUUGUCAAGAUAUGAGAGAAAUAGUAGUGAUUCAAAAAGAUGAUUAGGAGCCAAAAAUAUUUAUUAUUUUAGAUUGGUGUUUAUGUUUUUGAACAGUUAAAAACUUUUUUGGUCAUUGUGUUUAUGUUUAAAAUUUAUUUUGGUCACUGUAUUUUAUUUUCUGCUAAUUUAGUUACUGUGUUAUCACAAGUUAGCAAUCUUAGUCCUUCUCAAUCAAACGUUAAAAAAAACGCACAUGACAUGCAAGUGCAGGGGUAACUAUGUAAGUGAAAAUAUAUCUUUGCCCCUGCACGAAACUGUCACGUGCAUUUUUUUGGCGGUUGACUUAUGGUAACGCAGUGACCAAUUUGGCAGAAAAUAAAACACAAUGACCAAAAUAAAUUUUAGAAAUACACACAGCGACCAAAAACGUUUUAAUUUAACCCAUUUUUAACAGUCCAGCCAGCUACCAUGAAAGCUACAACAUGAAAGCUGACUGUCAAAAUUUUGUUUAAAAAUUCAUACACAAUAAUCGUCAUAAGAACGUGCAAUAGGUACUUUGAAUUCUUAAAUAUACUGCAUGGUUACCCUUUCCUUUUGUUUUAUACAGAGAAAUCUUGACAGGCAGUCAAAAGCAAAAUUAUGUUCUUCUAGUGAUAUCUGUGUGCUAAAAAGGAAGUACGUAGCUACGUUCAGUCUUCACCUAACACUCCUAUUUGCACCUAAAAGAUGUGGAUAACAAAGAUUUUGACCAAAAUCACAUUGACAAGUACUUGCCAAAGGAUCACGGAACCUAUGAUUGUAAAAGAUAUACGUGUUGGGCCUGACCGACGUUAAUUAGUUGUUCAUAUUGAUUUGAGAAAUUUGAUUGAAUGAGGAUUAACAAAUCACAAUUGCUAAAAUAUUAAAAUGUAUUAACUGCGACAUAUUGGUUAAAUAAUUAUUGCACAUCGAAAAAAUAUUGACGAGUAAUUAUGAAUUUUUAUUUUCAUUAUUUCAAACAUUUUUAUAUUAGAAAAGCUAAAGAAAAUGAUUUAAAAACUUUGAAUUUUAAUGAUACGUACAAAAUGAAAGGUAAAAUAAAUAGUACCAGAAUUAACUUUUUGUUUAAAUUUUAUUUUCUAUUUGGCAUCAACUUUUGGUUUAAAUAUACUAUAUAACCCUCACAAAAGAAAAAGCAUGGUGUACUAGUAGCUAAAAGACAUAAAAAAGGUUAAUCUUAAUUUAUUAUUCUAAAGUUUCUUAGUUUUCAAUAUUUGGUAUAUAAAGUUUUUUUUAUUCUAGAGUUGUACAUAAAGUUAUAAUUUUGGGAUACUUUCAUACAUCCAUUAAGGUUGCUGUUAAAUUUAUCAUUAACUGAUGAUAUGACAUUUAUGUUGACAAUGACACGUAGAUAUUAAAAAUUAAAAAUUAAAUUAAUAAAAUAAUAAAAAUUAAAAAAAAAAAAAAAUUGGGCGUCUUCACCCUCACCCCUUCUGACCCCCCUCCCUUCUCUCCUCUGCACCCACGCUUCCCCCUCCCUCUUCGACUCCACCCAACGCUGCACUCCGAGGAUUGUUGCCAUCCUUUCAAGCCCAAUUUCGCCCCCAAAUAGGCCCGGGCAGUACUUGGCCAUAAACUUCAAGUCGUAGACCCUCUCGAACAAACGACCUGCCAUCUUUGCGAACUCAGUGGGGGAGCUGAGGAUGGUCUUCCUCGUCACCAGCUUCAUUACAUAGGCCGAGUCGUAGAGGCCGUGGAAGCUCACCCAUACGAGCUGCCCCCUGUGCACCCUUAAAAUCUCAACGAAACCCUCCACAAAAAUAUCCGAAUCAAUGCCGAACUUCCCAAAUUUCUCGAGAUCCAAGCCAUUCGCUUUGAGGAGGGCAAUGGAUUCUGGAACAUGGGGGUCGGUUUCCUCGUCAAAACCCCGAAAGUUGAACUCCCAGGUGCCGCCGACGUUGCCGCGGUCGUCGAACAGGGUGAUACCCACUUGGAUGAGAUUGAGAGAAUCGACAUUAAGGGCGAUAUCUUGGUAACGGAGGCCCUUGGAAGUGCCUCUGGGGGUGUUGCGGAGGAACCCCGGAAAUUCGGUGUCGAACGAGACGAUCGGAAAACGGCAGAGACACCGAUCGACGGAGGGAAGGGGAAAGGUGGGUGCAAAGGAGAGAACGGGAGUGGGGUCGGAAGGGGUGAGGAAGAAGAUGCCCAAAUUUUUUUAUUUAUUUAAUUUUUUUAGUUUUUAUUAUUUUAUUUUUUAAUAUGCACGUGUCAUCAUGUCAUUGUCCACGUGGAUAACACAUCAUUAGUUAACAGUAAAUUUAAAGGCAACCUUAAUGAAUGUAUAAAAUUGUUCCAAAAUUAUAACUUUAUGUACCACUCUGAGAUGAAAAAAACUUUAUUUACCAAAUAUUGAAAACAAAAAAACUUUAAGAUAAUAAACUAAUAUUAAUCCUAAAAAACUACUAAAGGAAAGGGUGAAAGAAAAAAUUAUUAGUUUGUGCUGUUCUCAUGGUAAUAGUGGUUUUUGUAUUGUACGAUCAUGUGUUACAUUUUAUGCAUUAUUAUGUGGAUGAAUGAAUAAGUUAAUUACAUCGCAUGUCAUAGGGUGAAUAUUACAUUAAAAAAUUCUUCAUUCUUGUUAUUCGUCAAAUUAAUGGUUGUGCAUUUGUAUGAGGACCUAGAUCUGUUGAGGAUGCAGAUCUUCACUCGUUGAAGGCCAUCCCUAUCUAUCUACUACUACUCUUUGGAAAAUAAUUGACUACAGAUGAUUGUACAAAAAAAUAAUUAAUAUUAUCUGAACAGCUCACCAUGCAUGUUCAGUAAAGUAAAGCGGAUUUGUUUAUUCAUUGUCUAGUUCAAACUUGGGGAGCAUUUUCUCAUUCUUGCGGUGAUCAGAAUAAUGUGAUUUAAGUCCAGUUAAACAUGCUUAAUUAUGCAUUUAAGCAUCUUUUAUUUAUUUGCUUUCAUUAUUUUUUCCUUCUUAAUGUGUUGUUAUUGUUUGGAACAACAAGUAAGACAAAUCUAGCCAGUUAGCAUUCACCGCAUCACCGCAUAAUGAAAGAUUAUUCAUAUUUGGAAAUGAAUAAUUAAUUAAAAAACUGUAUUAUUAAGGCAAAUGGGCACUUAAUAUUUGUAUCUUAAACCUUCCGAGUCGGAUAUUCGAGUAAAUUAGUUAAAAAGCUAUGCAAAAUGUGAAUGUGACAGACUACGUAGUAAAGUUUGGGUUAAGAGAGAGAGAGAGAGAGAGAGAGAGUAUUUCGCAGCCGGCUGGUCCCUAUGUACGGGAAGAAUCAUAGAAAGUUAGGUAACUACACACAUUUUUCAAAGAUGUCGAUCAUGAAAAAUAUUUGAUAACAAAUUCAGGGAGGACAUACUGCUUAAAUUAUUAACCUAGAAAUAAAGUUCGAUCUCUUGCUUUAACUUUUCUGCUACGUAGCUCUUAUUGCAUUAAACAAAGCCUUAUUAAAGUAAAGAUGGUCACACCCUUAGCCCUUUAGGUGAUACGUUCAGGGAAAUGGUUAAUGUUUUUACAAGCUCUUGUUUAUUUUUAUUUUUUAAUAUUUUCAGAUAUUUUUACAAUCUUUUACUGCGCAGUAAUAGAGUGUAAAAAUCAUAUCUAUGUAUUUAUUUAUUAUUAACUAUGUUUACAAUGAACCUUCUAUUCCAUGAAACAAGAUAUAAAAAUAAAAAUAAAAAGGAGAAGGGCAUAAAUUAACAAAAUUCGGUCAAAGGCCGCAUUGGUCCAAACAUUAAUUGAUAAUCUAUGACAAAUAGUCUGGCCCCAUUAGCAUUAUUUUAACAGUAAUAUUGUUUUUUUACUAAGAUAAUUAAUAAUUGCCAAGUGAAAAUUUGGCAUGAGUACCAUUGUGAAGGGUAAAAACCAAAGCUAUAUAAAGGGUGAGGAGGCUUAGCUUCAGAGGCAGACAACCAAAAACCCAUUCUUAACGAAGGAUGGGAAAAAUGGUGCCUUCACAAGUGACCUCUCUUGUGGUCACUCUCCUAGUGGCAAUAGUCUCUCUCACAUUGCCUUCAGAAACUUCAGCUAACUACCCUUACACCUCUCCACCACCACCGGCCUCUCCUCCCUACCAUUACAAGUCACCACCGCCUCCUUCUCCUUCUCCUCCAGUGCACUACUCACCACCUAAGCAUCCCUACCACCCUAAGUCACCACCACCUCCUGUGUACGCACCACCUAAGCAUCCCUACCACCCUAAGUCACCACCACCUCCUGUGUACCCACCACCUAAGCAUCCCUACCACCCCAAGUCACCACCACCAUCACCAAAGCCUUACCACUACAAAUCCCCACCACCACCUCCUGCUCCAGUGCACUCACCACCCCCACCUAAGGAGCCAUACCACUACAAGUCCCCACCACCACCACCCAAGAAGCCCUACCACUACAAAUCUCCCCCACCACCUCCUCCUCCAGUUCACUCACCACCACCACCCAAGGAGCCUUACCACUACAAAUCUCCACCACCACCACCCAAGAAACCUUACUAUUACAAGUCUCCUCCACCACCACCAAAGAAGCCUUACCACUACAUGUCUCCUCCCCCACCGGUGUACUCACCACCUCCACCAGUGCACUCACACCCACCACCAAAAAAGCCUUACCAUUACAAAUCUCCUCCCCCGCCAGAAUAUUCACCAGCUCCACCAGUGCACUCAACCCCACCACCAAAGAAGCCCUACCAUUACAAAUCCCCACCACCACCACCACCACACAAGAAGCCUUAUUACCCUGUUCACUCACCACCUCCACCUAAGAAGCCUUACCACUACAAAUCCCCACCACCACCUUCUCCUACUCCUCCUAAAUACUCACCACCUAAGCACCCCUACCACUACAAGUCUCCACCACCACCACCAAAGAAGCCUUACCAUUACAAGUCCCCACCACCUCCUUCUCCUACUCCCCCUAAAUACUCACCACCUAAGCACCCCUACCACUACAAGUCACCACCACCACCACCCCAAGAAGCCUUACCACUACAAGUCUCCACCACCACCACCUCCUCCAGUUCCCACACCAUCUCCACCCAAGAAACCUUACCACUACAAGUCUCCCCCACCACCCCCUCCAGUCUACAAGUCUCCUCCACCACCAGUUUACUCACCACCACCACCACCUAAGAAACCUUACAAGCCACCAACUCCUCCAGCAGUUCACCCACCACACGGUUACAUCUAUUCCUCACCCCCACCUCCUCACCACUACUAGAUAUUGAAAGUUUAAUUGCAUCAAGCUGGUAAGCUUCUCCAUUCUAUGCUAUUAUUCAUUAAUUAGUUAGUACUACUGUUGUCAAUUUGGAAAUCACCAUACAACCAAAUGCACACUCUGACGAAAUAACAUAUAAAUUCUAAUUGAAUAGUCUUUAUUUCCAUUUUUGGCUAAUAAUCCUUAUUAGCAUAUGGAUAAUGUAUUUCCAACAUAUCGUUAUUAACUUAUUACUCAAUUAAUAUUUCUUUUUCUUUAAAUUCAGUAGCCGUGUGUAACAAAUAGACCAAUGGCAGAGACCCAACAAAUAACAAUAAUAUGUCUUUGCAGGUAAGGGAAGAAGAAAGGUCAGAAUAAAGAGGGGCUGUUGAAGUCGAACAGCGCGCCUUAUUACCACACAAAGAAGAAGAGAGAGAAAAAAACGAGUCUCCACGCAG